GCUAAGUCAUCUCCAGCGUGUUCUUUCCAGACCAGCUGGUAAGGUGUGUGGUUCUGUGUUGCAGGCUAUGGCUGAGACUGUGCACCAGGUGACCCCAACUGACCAAAGGGAUAUUCCAGCCCAUAUGGCAUCAUGCUCAGUAUAGAAAAGGAGUCCAUGCUAUCCUUGAGGCAAGGAAACCUAGGCCUUGCUGUUGAGAGGUGACAGCCAUUGAUGAGUCCUGCAGGAGUGGGUUUUUGCUUAGCUGAGAGAAGUAUCAGAAAAGAGAAGAGGAGCUGCCACUAGGACAAAGAGAGUGCAGAGCUGAAUCAGGCACCCUGUGAUUGACUCAUCCCUCGUGGACAAAAGCCAAUGUUGGGAUUUUCCUGCUGUAUAGUGGGCUGUUCCAGUCAGAAAGAUGAGGGAGAAAGAUGACACAGCUUUUCAGAAACUCCCUAGGGAUGAGAACAACCCAAAAAUAUCUGACUGUACCAUACUUUCUAUUUAUUUCCCAAUCUUCAUUUUCAUACACUGUAAAGAGCAGUGAAAUAGUUAAUAGAUAGGUCUCAGUUCAAUAACUGCCACUAAAAACCUGACAACACAUUGACACAAGGAAGAUAUUUCACAGUGCUCAACACUAUUUGUUCAGAAUUUCUGUAAAUACAGGCACACAUCACCUUCUUCAUCUGGAAUUGUUUCAAUUUUCUUAAUAACUAGAGGAAUUAGGAACUUUAGCUAUAACUAAAUGGAGGUUCUGGAGGACAAAAUACCAACAUCAAACAAAACCAAUGUACCUUCCAACUCAUCUGAACUGAGCUUUUGGCAGAAGCAACAUAAAUUCCCUGUGAGAUUUUUCUUAUUUUAGUCUCAGUUUCUGAGACUGUACAAUUAUCAUAGCACACACCAAUGUGUCAGAUACAUCCUGUUGAAGAGGAAAGAACUGGAAGAUAACCAGGAUGAUUAAAAUCAGAAGAUCUACACAUAUUUCUUAUAGACACAGGAAAUAACAUUAUAAAAUUGAAGCCUUCAGUAUAUCAGUCACUCUGUAUCUCUGUUUACAUACCAAUGAAGUUUGAGGUAUGAGGCCUGCUGAUGACAUUUGUAGGAAGAAUCAAAGGAGUUAAGAAAACAGUUAAAAACCCCAUAUAAUUUCAACAUAUACCUUAGCAGUGGCCUUGCAUGGAAAGCAAAAAGAAGCUGUUAAACCUGCUUACCUGAACUUCUUUCAUUACUAGAUUACUCCUCCUGGUUUCCUCUAGAAAAUAAUAUUGGAGAACUAACAUUUCCUUGUAAGAGAAGCGAUUGUUUUGAAUUGAUGGUGAAAUCAACAGGAUGUGUACAGGACCUACUGCCCUCAAUGUCCCUAAAUGCUGCUUACUCGGACAAUUGUUCUAGGUUCAAUUUUGGCAAUCAGGCAUUAAAAAAAGAAUGUUGGCACUACAGCUGUUGUGGUGUUGUAUUCUGAACCAGCAGCUCCAAUUAGCUUUGGCAAGUAUUAAUGACAGGUACUUUAGCAUGAGGAUCCAUGCAACAAGAUUUCUUUUCUUGUAGCAGUUCUAUGCACAUAUUUCUAUGGUUUGUAUAGGAAAUUUCCCCACUGGUUAACAAAGGGGUUUUGUAUGUAUAUGUUAUAGGGACUGAAUAUGACACUGUUUUCUUGGCAAGGAUGACCAGCUUGUGGCUUUUGUAGAACUUCAUCACAAGGGACAUUCAUUCUGCAAUGAGUGCAAUGUAUACCGUAGUAUACACCACUAGCUGAAAAUAUAUACAGAAAAAAAAUACAUAUUCAAUAUCUUGUACUGUUAAAGCACAUAGCAACAAAUGAUAUGUGCACCCUCCUCGGUAAGCUUUGGCUGCAACUUAGGGGAAAAAAAAAGAAGGAACCUUCUACCUGGAAAAGUCUGUGUUACUAGAAAUAAGACAGCUCCAUUGUAUGGAGCCUGAAGGGUUUGCUAUUUGAAUAGACUACAAUGGUCACCUUAGUUAUGGCACUACCUUGCCCAGCACAUCAAUUUUCAUCUUAUAAAGAAAUACAUUUCUUCUGUAGGGGAAAUGGCAUGUUUCUGAUCUACUUGCACUGCCUGAAUGAUGUCAUAGAUGGCAUAGUGGAAAUUUUAUCCUUUAUGGUGACCAAGUGUGGCAAUAGGAGCCUUUGCACCAAUGGAGCUUUAGAUUCUUUAUCAGACAAGUCCUGACCCAUUUCAAUAUAAUUUCGCUGAAGAUAUCUUGUAUAAAGUCUAGCUUUUCUGCUUCUCUGUUUAGCAUUAAUUGAUGGCCAGGCCAACUCUGAUUCAUGGGUCAUAAAUACAUCUUUUAGAUGAACAUGCUUCUUUCAAAAACAUACACAGGAUCCAUGUUGGAGUCCAGGGCAUUCCUUUGGUUGCCCUGGAGGAUCAGAGACCUGGGCAGGGGGGUCUGGGACCCCAGCCCAGAGCCCAGAGCUCAGAGAGACACUGGAUUUGAUUUCGGUCUAUGGGAGAGGCUUCUUGCACUGCAAGAGGGUUUACAGGCCAUAAAAGUGUGAAAAAUAGUAGUUUAGUAUAUCACAUUGUGAAAAAACAGUGGGUUUGGGAUUUUUGGCAUUGAAGUGAAUGGGGCAAGAUGGAGAAUUUGGGGCGUUGUCUCCUUCUCCUUCCUUCUUGUUCCCUCACUCCAUUUCUGCAGUGACGUUGACACAAAGUAGUUAGUGAGGAUUGGGUCAGAGUAAAGAUGACCUUUUUAGUAAUAGUGAUAGACAUUGGUAAUAAAUAGUAAAUAGAGAAUACGUGGCAAUUAGUAUAAAAGAUAAGGACAGCCCAGAGACAGGAGGAGUCACCAGAUGUCCGAGCCGCGGCAAACAUCUUUUGGACACUGAGAAAAUUGUAAGAUAAGAACUAAUAAAUGA